rnacentral:tRNA from 1 species
UACAGUGUAGCUCAGUGGAAGAGUGCUUGCCUAACAUACAUAAAGCCUGGGUUCAAUCCCCAGCGCUGUAA